UGCUCCCUACGGGGGGCAGCAGUGGGGGAUAUUGGACAAUGGGGGGAACCCUGAUCCAGCGACGCCGCGUGAGUGAAGAAGUAUUUCGGUAUGUAAAGCUCUGUCAGCAGGGAAGAAAGAAAUGACGGUACCUGACCAAGAAGCCCCGGCUAACUACGUGCCAGCAGCCGCGGUAAUACGUAGGGGGCAAGCGUUAUCCGGAUUUACUGGGUGUAAAGGGAGCGUAGACGGAAUUGCAAGUCUGAUGUGAAAAUCCAGGGCCCAACCCCGGAACUGCAUUGGAAACUGUAUUUCUAGAGUGUCGG
rnacentral:rRNA from 1 species